rnacentral:rRNA from 1 species
ACUGCCGGUGAUAAACCGGAGGAAGGUGGGGAUGACGUCAAGUCAUCAUGGCCCUUACGGCCAGGGCUACACACGUGCUACAAUGGCGUAUACAGAGGGAAGCGACCUCGCGAGAGCAAGCGGAACCCACAAAGUACGUCGUAGUCCGGAUCGGAGUCUGCAACUCGACUCCGUGAAGUCGGAAUCGCUAGUAAUCGUGGAUCAGAAUGCCACGGUGAAUACGUUCCCGGGCCUUGUACACACCGCCCGUCACACCAUGGGAGUGGGUUGUACCAGAAGUAGUUAGUCUAACCUUCGGGGAGGACGAUUACCACGGUGUG